GUGUUCACUUUGGCAGCACAUAUACUAAAAUCGGAACAGUACAGAGAUUAGCAUGGCCCCUGUGCAAGGAUGACACGCAAAUUCAUGAAGCGUUCCAUUUUUUU
rnacentral:snRNA from 1 species